AGGCAGAGACAGGAGCAACUGC
rnacentral:piRNA from 1 species